rnacentral:rRNA from 1 species
AUUGAACGCUGGCGGCAUGCCUUACACAUGCAAGUCGAACGGUAACGCGGGGCAACCUGGCGACGAGUGGCGAACGGGUGAGUAAAGUAUCGGAACGUGCCCAGUAGUGUGGGAUAGCCCGGCGAAAGCCGGAUUAAUACCGCAUGAGACCUGAGGGUGAAAGCGGGGGAUCGCAAGACCUCGUGCUAUUGGAGCGGCCGAUAUCAGAUUAGGUAGUUGGUGGGGUAAAGGCCUACCAAGCCGACGAUCUGUAGCUGGUCUGAGAGGACGACCAGCCACACUGGGACUGAGACACGGCCCAGACUCCUACGGGAGGCAGCAGUGGGGAAUUUUGGACAAUGGGCGAAAGCCUGAUCCAGCCAUGCCGCGUGCGGGAAGAAGGCCUUCGGGUUGUAAACCGCUUUUGUCGGGGAAGAAAUCUUCUGGGUUAAUACCCUGGGAGGAUGACGGUACCCGAAGAAUAAGCACCGGCUAACUACGUGCCAGCCGCCGCCGUAA